rnacentral:rRNA from 1 species
GAUGAACGCUGGCGGCGUGCCUAAUACAUGCAAGUCGAGCGAACAGAUAAGGAGCUUGCUCCUUUGACGUUAGCGGCGGACGGGUGAGUAACACGUGGGUAACCUACCUAUAAGACUGGAAUAACUCCGGGAAACCGGGGCUAAUGCCGGAUAACAUGUUGAACCGCAUGGUUCUACAGUGAAAGGCGGCUUUGCUGUCACUUAUAGAUGGACCCGCGCCGUAUUAGCUAGUUGGUGAGGUAACGGCUCACCAAGGCAACGAUACGUAGCCGACCUGAGAGGGUGAUCGGCCACACUGGAACUGAGACACGGUCCAGACUCCUACGGGAGGCAGCAGUAGGGAAUCUUCCGCAAUGGGCGAAAGCCUGACGGAGCAACGCCGCGUGAGUGAUGAAGGUCUUCGGAUCGUAAAACUCUGUUAUUAGGGAAGAACAAAUGCGUGAGUAACUGUGCGCGUCUUGACGGUACCUAAUCAGAAAGCCACGGCUAACUACGUG